rnacentral:rRNA from 1 species
CACGCCGUAAACGUUGUGUGCUAGGUGCGGGAGGUAUCGACCCCUUCCGUGCCGCAGUUAACGCAUUAAGCACACCGCCUGGGGAGUACGCCCGCAAGGGUGAAACUCAAAGGAAUUGACGGGGGCCCGCACAAGCGGUGGAGCAUGUGGUUUAAUUCGAGGCAACGCGAAGAACCUUACCCAGGCUUGACAUCCGGGGAACCCCGUGGAAACACGGGGGUGCCGCAAGGAACCACGAGACAGGUGU